GUCUGGUGUAGGCCUCUGUGAAGCCUGAACUCCAGUAGGGCCCAAGCCAGCCAGGAAGGAGGAGGCAGCCAGAGUGGCCACCAGUGGUCUCUGCAGCAGAAGACCCCAUGCUGCCAGCUUUCAUUCUAUAGAAGGAUCCAACAAACACUGUUCUUCAUUCGAUCACUCUGAACUUACAUCACUGAUAUUGCCAAUGCUGAUUGUUACACUUGGAAGAUUUAUUUUUCUUGUAUAUACUGCUUUUUCCUCCAAGGAGCUUAGAGUGUUGUUUCCUUAUAACAGCCCUGUGAGUGGAGAAAGAACACCAAACAGGUGAAAAACUUCUGCUGGAGGAAGCUGAAAAAUGGAGCCAUGAUUUGACUGAGAGGCUUGCCUUCCAUCAACUGAUAAGACAGGAAUACAGAACAGCAGAUUGCUCUCUGUAUUUCAAAGGCCUGCUACUCCAUCCUACUUCCCUGGGUGACAUGGCCAGCAGACUCACAACAAGCCGGUGAGAAUCCUGUCCUUUUGCCAGGGUGCAGCUGCAUCAUUGAGGCAGCACAAAUGUCAAUCUCAAUUACACUUCAAAUACAUUUCGGGAAAAUAUUUCUCAGCCCUUAAUUACACUGUUAAGAAAGAGACUGUGGGAAGAAAAGAAAGGGAUACCUUGCUUUAACAAUUAUACAAGAACAGCUUCUUAUAGUAAAGGAGCCAAUUUAUGAUUUUAGUUUGUCUUGAACCAAUGAUAAACACACAUUGAAAACAAACCUUUCUUGACUGGACAGCUGAAGACAAACAAACAGAACCCCGAUUCCUCAUAGAAAGUCAGUCAUUAAGAACACUGAUGCCAGAAUGUUGCUUUUCUAUCCAGUGUUUUAAUUGUUCACAUUUACUAUUCAUUGAAUAUUAAACAGCUG